UGGGGAGGUCUUGCACUAAUGGGGAAACCCAUGGAAUCGCAGCGACGCCGCCGUGAGCGAUGAAGCCCUUCGGGUGUGAAGCAUCUUUCGGCAGGGAAGAUGAUGACGGUAUCUGCAGAAGCAGCUGCGGCUAACUACGUGCCAGCAGCCGCGGUAAUACGUAGGCAGCGAGCGUUGUUCGGAGUUACUGGGCGUAAAGGGUGUGUAGGCGGUUGUUUAAGUUUGGUGUGAAAUCUCCCGGCUCAACUGGGAGGGUGCGCCGAAUACUGAAUGACUCGAGUGUGGGAGAGGUGAGUGGAAUUCCUGGUGUAGCGGUGAAAUGCGUAGAUAUCAGGAGGAACACCGGUGGUUGUUAGACGGCUCACUGGACCAUAACUGACGCUGAGACACGAAAGCGUGGGUAGCAAAACA
rnacentral:rRNA from 1 species